GAGGACAUCCGGAAUAACCCCGAUAACUAUAUAAACAAUAACUCAAAGAUCAUUUCUUCCCACGAACAUUACAUUCACGAUCACAUAGAUCGAGUUCAUUUCAUAACUAAUCAAUUAUCAAACGAACAUAUACAUCAUUCAACACUAUUAGAUAGUCCAGCUAGUUUAUAAAAGAACUCAGAGAAAAAAACAGUACACAGUCAUAUUUGACCGAAAAAUAUAAAAGUAAUGCCUCAACUGACGCAGGUGCAAGUCCGGCCGGUAAAACCACAUGGCGACGUUAAUCAACCACACGGUAAACAAACAUGGCGACCAGAGUAGGCGUGGACGUAGGCGUGAGAGUGGAGAGUGUACCUAUUGUAUCGAAAAGUGCGACUGUAUUUGCUGGUGUUUCGUUUUUACUCGGCGUAGUUGUCGGUUACGCACUUAAAGGACUAAGAAUUUCGUAUCUGAAAAAGAAACACGAGUUUUUAAAGAGACAAACCGAAAAGACUCAAAAGGCAUUAUUAGAGUGACCCCAAGGUGAACCCCACGAUCUGAUGCAUUACAAGGGUACAAACGCAGAUCAUAUAAUAACCGAUGGAUUCUCUCCCUUUUAUGGAAGACGAUGUGGGUAAACAUUAUCAUCGAACAUCGUGAAAUAUCCAGCUUAGCCGACGAUCGAAGAAAGAUACGCAAUCUCACUUUUUUAUUAUAAUUGCGCUGGUAUCGUGGAAGCAUGCCUUUUUGCAUGUUUCUGCCAUAUUUACAAAAUGCCAUUUAUUUGUUCUUGUCUAAUAAGUAACUUUUAUAUUAUAAUUUUCUGAAUAUUUCGAUAUGGAAUUUAUGGUUAAACUGUGUAAUGCGAUUUUAUUGUUAGACUUCUAAUGACAAGUAUAAUUUGCACAUUAAAAUAACAAAUACUA